GCCCCUGUAGCGGACUGGAUAACGCGUUGGACUUCUAAUCCAAAGGUCGUGGGUUUGCAUCCCUCUUGGGAUG